AAAAUAAAAAUUAUUAUUAUUAAUUUAAAAUUAAUUAAUAUUUUAAUAAAAAUAUUUUUAAUAUUAAAAAGUUUAUGUAUUUGGAAAGAUAAAAUUUUUUUUAAUUAUAGUUUAUUAGUAUUGUAAAAGAAUUUUGAAAAAUUUAUUUAAAAUAUUUAUUUAAAAGUAAAUUUAAUUUAUUGUACCUUGUGUAUCAGGGUUUAAUUAAUAAAUAAUAUUUAAUUAUAUUUUUCUCGAAUUUAAAAGAUUUAUUUUAAUAUUAUUUUUAUCGUAGUAAAGAUAUCUUAAAUAUUAAGAUGGUAAUGAUAUGUUAUUCAAUUUUAAAUAUAUCUAGUUUUUUAAUAAAUGAAUUUAAUUCAGAUAUUAUAUUUAAAAAUUAAUUAUUUUUUUUAUUUUUUAUAUAAUAUUAACAUUAUUUGGGAUUAGCUUAAUAAUGUAUUUUUAUAAUAAUUAGUUAUUGAUUUAUUUAAAUAUAUAGUCUUAAAAAUAGAUAAUAUUUAAAAAAUGUUAUAAUUUAAUUAAAUAAUAAAUAUAAAUAUAAUUUAAUAUUUAUUUAAAUUUUUAUUAAAAUAUUUAAUUUAAUUAUUUUUUAAAAGUAAUAAUAUUAAAAUUAGUAAAUUAUAUUGUUGUUAAUUUAAUUAAUAAAAUUAAAGUUUAUUAAAAGGAAUUCGGCAAAAUAAAUUAUACUCACCUGUUUAACAAAAACAUGUCUUUUUGAAUUUAAUUUAAAGUUUAAUCUGCUCAAUGAAUAUAUUAUUUAAAUAGCUGCAGUAUUUUGACUGUACAAAGGUAGCAUAAUAAAUAGUCUUUUAAUUAAAGGCUAGAAUGAAUGAUUGAAUGAAGUAUAAACUGUCUCUAAAUAAAUAUUAUUUUAAUUUAAUUUUUAAGUUAAAAAGCUUAAAUAAUUUUAAAGGACGAGAAGACCCUAUAGAAUUUUAUAUAUUUAUUAUUACAUAUUAAUUAAUUAAUUUAUUUAUUAUAUAAGUAUAUUUUAUUGGGGUGAUAAGAAAAUUUAAUGAACUUUUUUAUUAUAAUUACAUUAAUAAAUGAAUUUAUGAUCCUUUAUUUAAGAUUAAUAGAAUAAAUUACCUUAGGGAUAACAGCGUUAUUUUUUUUUUGAGUUCUUAUUUAUAAAAAAGAUUGCGACCUCGAUGUUGGAUUAAAAUUUAAUUUAGGUGCAGUAGCUUAAAUUUUAGGUCUGUUCGACCUUUAAAAUUUUACAUGAUCUGAGUUCAGACCGGCGUGAGCCAGGUUGGUUUCUAUCCUUAAAAAAAUAAAAGUUUUUAGUACGAAAGGACCAAAAUUUUAUAAUAAUUUAUAAAAUAAUAAUUGAAUAUUAUUAAUAAUCAGUAAAAUUAAA
rnacentral:rRNA from 1 species